ACAGACAGUUGUUGGGAUACUACAGUUGUGUUGCAUUAGCGUUUUGAAGCGAAUUAGGCUACCCCAUGCCAUGCCCUUUAACAUAAAAGUGGCUCCAGAAGGAACGAAAAGAGCAAGAUGUAAGGGUGGCAAAGCUGUCAAAACUAUCCUCAUUUGGAUUGUGGCGAAGCGUGUUGAAGAGGACGCUACGUCUGACCCCCAGCCCGGCAACAGCAAUGAGUGUGAAACUCAGCCACCAGGGAUUUUCAUUCAGGAUUCUCACGCCCUGGGAGAGUAGGAGGAGGAAGAAGGAGACAGCCGGGAGAAGCAAAAGACUUUCAAUUAAACAUCAGACCCACCAAUAACCGCAAGGAGUCCAGCAAAGGUGUGAUCUGACAGAACCGGAUUUGGAACUGGAUGAGAAACAACUGAUUCUGAAACCGAAAGUUUGAAGUUGAUCAAUUAGAAUCUGUUAAAUCAGGUGUUUCUUUGUCUUGAUGAAUCAUUCUGUUUAAUCACUCAAAUAUUUGACGUGAACAGAGGACAUUUUGUAAACCAUGUGCCUGUGAGUCUUCGAGACAGAUGGCAGUUAUAAACCCCCACCUUUGGAUUGUAGUACUGGAUGUACAAGUACUAAUCCUCCUGGAGAUUUUAUAUUGUGAAGAAGGACGCGAAAGCGACUGCCAUUGAGUUUUUCAGCUGAACAGAUAGACUGUCGUUGCUUCACCCCAAUACACACGUCCCUGUCAUACAGGAAUGCGAAAGACAAGUAAACUACUAUAAAACCUCUAUGUAUCAGCAUCAAAAUAAUUUCUCACCAUCAAAUCCUUUUUUUAAAUAGGAAAUAUUACUCUUAUUGUUUAAGUCAAUUAAAUAAAUGAAAAAAUAAAACAUAAUAAUCCCCCACCAUUAACUAUUCUGUUUUCAGACCUGUCCAACCUAUACAUACACAAUGCAUGCUAUUAAAUGUACAUGCUGGGGUAGAAGGGGAAACAAUGUAUGCAUAGGGGAGAGCAUUUCAUGGAAGGUCUUGUUUUCCAUUUGAUGUAAAUCCAAUGCACCCCCUGCUAACUCUGACAAAGAAAGUGUUACAUGCCUGAAACUUACUCUGGUUACUCACAAGGUCUGUAUGACAA